GAGGAUACUAGGGGAAUCAGCCUACCAGAGGUGAGGAUACUAGGGGAAUCAGCCUACCAGAGGUGAGGAUACUAGGGGGACCAGCCUGAUAGGAGCAGACUACCAGAGGUGAGGAUACUAGAGGGACCAGCCUGAUAGGAGCAGACUACCAGAGGUGAGGAUACUAGGGGGACCAGCCUGA